AUGCCAAUGCCCGGGUCUUCCUCGGUGAGGCUCGCCCACCUCCUGGUGCCCACCUUGUGCUGCGCCAUCCUCCUCUGCGCCGACGCGUCGGUGCACGACUAUGCCGGAGAGAGGUUCGCCGGCCUCGGCAACGCCUUCGUCCUCAAUGGCGGCAGCGAGGGCGUCUACGCCUCCCCCGCCGCGGACUCCUUCAUCCGAUUCCAGAAGGUCGCGUUCAAGAGGACGCCGGAGUCCGCUGCCGCGGCCGAGAAGGACGGCAACCGCACGGUCACAAUCACGGCGGUCGUCUUCGAGGCCGCGGACCGCGGCGCGGUCGGGGGCUCUGACGUCGUCGCCGCCGGCGCUCGCGCGCUCUGCUGCACGCCGGACAUGGCGAAGCGCGGCGCGUGCACCGAGGGGUCGCUCGUGUACCGCGCGCCCAACAGCGCCGUCGCCGCGGGCUGGCCCAAGGUGCUCGCCGCCUCCUUCCUGCCGGGCGCCCUCGAGGCCGUCUUCCCUGACGAGACCGUCGCCGUCGCGCGCACCGGCAUGUACAGCCUCCGCUUCGUCCACUGCGACGCGUCCCUCGACGUGGCUGCGGAGGGCAAGACCAUAUGGAAGAACAGCCGCGGCUACGGCUACCUCCCCGGCCGGAUGGCCCCCCUCCUGGCGUUCUACGGAGUCAUGUCGCUGGCGUUCGUCGCCCUCGCCGCGUUCUGGUUCCUGCGGUACGCCCGGUUCUGGCGGGAGGUGGUGCCGCUCCAGAAUUUCGUCACGGUCGUCAUCGCGCUCGGGAUGGUGGAGGUGACCACGUGGUACUUGGACCUCGCCGAGUUCAGCGAGUCCGGAGUCCGGCCGGCGGGGACGACCUUCUGGGCGGCCACGUCCGGGGCGGUGCGCCGCACGGUGUCGCGUGUGCUGGUGCUCCUCGUCGCCAAGGGGUACGGCGUGGUGCGGCCCACUCUGGGAGGGGGCGCCAGCGCCGGGGCCAGGGUGGCCGGGCUCGGCGCGGCGUUCUUCGCGGCGUCCGAGGCCCUCGAGGUCAGCGAGCACGUCGGGGCCGUGAGCGACCACGACCACGCGCCGACGAGGAGGCUCUUCCUCGUGCUCACCGUCGCCGCCCUCGACGCGGUGUUCAUCUGCUGGAUAUUCAGCGCGCUGUCGCGAACCAUCAGCAAGCUCAAGGCGAGACGGAUGGCGGCGAAGGUGGAGACGUACCGGAGGCUGGCAACCUCGCUGACGAUCGCCGUGGCGGUGUCCCUGGGCUGGAUCGCGUUCGAGGUCCACUUCAAGUCGACGGACGGGUACCAGAGCGAGCGGUGGCGCGUGGCGUGGGUGAUCCCGGCGGUGUGGCAGCUCAUCUCCUUCGCGCUCCUCUGCGCCGUGUGCCUCGUGUGGGCGCCAUCCCACGAUUCAGCGAGGCUCGCUUGCUCGGACGAGGGCGGCGACGGCGGCGACGGCGACGACGGCGACGACGUGGAGGACGGCGCGCGGCCGCUGAUGCUCAGGACUGGGCCGCUCUCGUACGUGGAGAACUGGGCGUGCUACGUGACUCAGGACGCCAAGAUCAUCCUCAGGACGGACUCCGGCGUGUAUGCCAAAGCCGGCGAAGAGGACAAGCGAGUCUAA
rnacentral:rRNA from 1 species